CUCAUAGCGCAUUAGCUACUGAAACUGUAUCAUGCUACCAACAAAGAAUUGUUCAUCAUAAAAUAAGGGUAAAUGUCAUAUUAGCCAAUCGAACUUGUCGUGUUUGUUUUAAAAGGUCACCCAACUUUUUUUUGGUACAUUAAGGAAAUGAACUCUCGUUCAACCUGUUAAAAAGGUCACUUAACCCACUAUAAGAGGUUUUAAUCUCAUUGUAGUCUCAUCUCCUCCAACCUCCUCUCUGCAGUUUGCGUGUACUCCAUUGCAGGUUACAAAAUGAAAGUUUGAUUUUUUGCUUUGACCUUUGACUUGGUCAAAAUCAAAAGUCAGUUUAUUUUCUUUUUAGGUCGAAGCCCUGUAUCAGUUAUCAAACGACUCCAGCUAAGGAAGGGGCAUCGUCUUCUUCCCCUUCGACUAAUCGGGAACGAGAAAAGGAACAUAACGCCAUCGAAGCAGCUCCGAUGGGCAUCGAUCGUGGGUGGGUCAGAGAAGUUACUCUAGGGUUCGUCCGAUUUGAAGAAAUAAGGAGACGAUGGUGGUGGUUCUUGGCCCGGUGAUGGCAAAUUCGUCAGGGGGUAGUGGACCUGCGAUGGCCCUUUUUUGGUUUCCUCUUCAUCAUCGGUACUUACUAAUCGAGGGAAGAGAAACAACUACGAGGGGUGACAUCGGUGUUGGUGGGUCAACGGGUAAAGGCAGAGGGAAACGGGGAACAAAAGGUAGAUUAGGGAAGGAAGGAAUAUGAACGAAAUCAGGAAAUCAGUGGGUCGGUGGCUCUUAAUAGAUCAUGAAGAGGGAUCGACGUCUCGAGACUGUCAAAGGUUGCAGGUAAAUGGACGGGGCUGCUUCAGCAGUUAAUUAUGUGAAGAACAACAAGUGGCAGUUAUCAUAAUCCUCAGAGAUAAUUUCUCUCUAUCUCUUUUCCCCCUUCGUGUUCUUUGAUUUGUUCUUGUUUUUCAAUGUAGAGAGUCAUAUACAUACAAAUCAAUAAUCAAUCACCAAGUUUUUCCGUUCGAUUGAUCUAAAAAUGAAAAUAACUAGGUGACCAGAUCAAGAAGGGUAGAUAAAGUGAGUAUACUUUAAAGGAGGUGGAGGUGCAGUUGAUGGUCAAACAAUGGUCAAGGCACACAUUUUACAGCUUUACCCGGUAUCACAUUACAUAAGGAUAUUUUAAAACAAAAAAAAAAAAAAAAAAAAAAAAAAAAAAAAACAAGAGUUCAUUCCCUUAAUGUUCCAAAAAAAAAAUGUUAGAUGACCUUUUAAAACAAGCACAACAAGUUUGAUAGGCUAAUAAGACAUUUGCCCUAAAAUAAGUACCUAAAAGAAUUUAAUUCAAAUUUAUCUUCUUGUUUGCUUUAAUUGUUAUGAAGAGUUGAUUUCGUAAAAUGAAAAUAAAGUUGCAAAGAUCCCCGCAAAAAAAUUGCAAGCAUGGUUAAUCUUUUUUUCUUUUUUUUUUUUUUUUUUUUUUUUUUUUUUUUUUUAGAUUUCGAUAUAAUAUAUAUUCUAUUAUACUUAAAUUUUGUACAUGUAAGAGUAACGUAUUUAUAGUUUAAGGCUUUAAGCUACCGCUAAUCUACACUUAAAUUAUUACUAAUUCUAUAUUUUGUAAACCUCAAGCAACACCUACAUUGUGAUUUUUAUUCUAUUUCUUGUUGUAUUGAAUAUUGAUACAUUAAGCUUUUUAUUUAAAUUAAUUUAAAUCAACAACAAAAAUACCCUACUUCCAUACAAAUGAGAUAAGAAGGAGGCUAUAGUUGCUUCACUGGAAAACCUCGAUAGAAAUUUUUUUUUAUCAUAAAUGAAUAAUAAUAAUAACAAUAAUAAUUUUCGCUGCAUAUAAAAUGUUAGCUUGCCAUGAUCCUUGUAAAAAUCUUUUCAGCUACUGUAAAACGUUAGCCCACGGGCCACGAUAAAGAAACUACUACGAGGGUAGAAAAGAUAAGCAAAAACAUGAAUAGAAUAAUAUAGGAGAAUUUUAUAUAUACUUUUAUUAUACCUUAAAAUAUCAAUAUCUAAAUAUCAUAUUUAACCUUCUUAAAUUUUAAAAUAUCAUAUUUGUCCAAAACCUUUUAUUAAAUAUUUUAAAAUCAUUAAAAUUGAAAAUAAUAAUUAAAAGUACCGUAUUACCCUUAACUUCUAAAUCAUAGAAACUUCAUCAGCAACUAACUUGAAGUUUGCCAUCGGAAACAAUAAGGUGUUAGAAUGUGUUCAUUCUUUAAAAUAAAAACUCAUGAGAAAUAGUCAAAUUUUGAUCUAUACACACACAAAAUAUAUUAUAAUACACUCAUAUUUUUUAUCCAUUGCCGCACACACAACAAUAUAACAAAAAUUGCAAUUGGUAACAAUCAGCUUACCAAUCAGCGAUAGCUAUUUAAAGUUUUUCUUUUUUCACUUUUGAAGAAAUACAAAAUAAAACCGUAAAAGAAAAUCGUAGUUUAAUCCCCUUUUCUAUUUUUUAAGAAGCAAAAUUUCAAAAUAAAAAAGCAACUAGCAAUUGACACUACGCUGCGAGAAGUUAAAAAUAGGUCUAGAAGAUGAAGUUCCUACGAUUUAGAAGUUAGGGGUAAUAUGGUCUAUUUGAUUGUUAUUUUUUUCAAUUAUAACGAUCUUAAUAUAUGAAAAUUAUUAAAAAGUGAUUUUAAAACAUCUAAUCUAAUUCUAAUAAAUAAGUAGAACUCUGCCACGUGUCACUCUCUAAGGACCCCCAAAAUCGAGUUUUCCCGCUCAUUUAUUCAUCUAUAUUUACGUAAAUGCCAUUGAAUCCAAAUUGAAUCAAAGUUCAAACUGAUGAAAUAAAUCCGAAAAUUUUAGUUGUCAACUGCAAUUUCGUGCGUGAUUUAAGGAUAUUAGAUUAGUAAUUUGAAAAAUUCAGUUAUCACCCCCCUUAUCUUCACGCUCUUCUUCUACAAAUUUGUGUUUAUAUUCUUCAAUUUAUCCAAUGCUAUUUCUUUCUCUCUGUCUCUCUCGCAUAUGGAGAUAUACCUCGAAAAUUCCUAAUCUAUGCUCUCGAUUCUUGAAUCUAGGUUUAAUGACGUCCUCCUCUCCAUCAUGCCCAUCAGGUUAAAGUUUCCCUACUCACAAUAUGUUUACCUUGUGUAUACACGGAAAAAGAAAAUUUAGUAUGGAAUGGAAAUGGGAAUAGUCAUCAGAAACAAACACCAACAGUUCAUGAUUGAUCUCUUCCAGGAGAUUACAACUCCAAAAGCUUCAGUUUUUGAGAUUCCGACGAGGCUGAGCGCAAAUCCGAGCAUCGUUGAUCUUCCGGUUGAAGGUUGUUGUUUUAACCCCCAUUUUUAUGGUAAUCAUCGUCUCAAUUAAUUUCCUUAUUCUCGAGCAAAUCCAAUCAGAUGUAAACUUUAAUCGUUGAUCUGUUAAUUAGGGUUUUCACGCAUAUUUCAAUUGAUUUUUGAAAUUAGUGAUUCUACAAGUUGCUUUGAAGUGUUCGUGUAUUAUAUCCAUGUAUAAUAAUGUGAGUAUUCCGCUAUUUGAUUUUUUAUUUUAUCCGUAGAGAAGUCCAAUGAUCAUUCCUAGAUUUUUUUUAGCGUAAGGAGACUGCAUAAUUUGAAAUUUUGAGGUUAGGUUUGCUUUAAAAAUGCACAUGUUGAACAUUUAAAUUUCGUUAAUCACAUUAUAAAACCAAUAUAGAUGAGAAUGAGUUAAAAUAUCAUUUGUCUUGAGUUGUGCUUGCAACUAUGCUUUUGUAAAUUAACUUCUAUAUUAAAGUUUUGUAUUGUCGAUACACACUUUUACUACCGCCGUUUCCCCAUAAACUAUCAGUCACCACCAUUACACUUCUUCUCUCUUCGGGCCAUUCUCUGAUUUCGCCAAAUUUAUCGUUCUGAUACCAGAGGUGAAGCAAGUGAAGCUUUUGAAUCAUGGUGAAAGCCUUAUAAUUACUUCAUAUGGCAUUUGGGGUGAUUUGUCGACGGAAGCCGCAAUCGAAUAUUGCCGCCAUUUGCCGUCUGUAGUUAUGGUAUUUUUUCUGUUUUCUUAUAAAACACUUUUUCUCCUCUCUAUCACCCAUAAUAUAGGGCUAAAAUGUAGAGAUUUGACAUUGAUAUUGCUGAUUGAAUCACUCAUUUCUGGAUCAAUUAAGGUGCUUUUCUUUAAAAUCUAGAUUUAGAAUCAUAUGUUAACUGAAGUAACUACACCCUGAGAUAAGUUGUUUUGUGGAAGCGAAUCUGUUUUUUUUUUUUUUUUUUUUUUUUUUUUUGAAAGACAGUUGCAUUACUCACCUGUUAAAGAAAUUUUGGUGAAUUUUAAAUUUUUUAAUCCAUUUAUGUAGUCUUGGGAUCAAUUAAGUAUGUGUAAUGCUAUUUCUUGGCACUUGAAAACUUUAAUAAAUUUUGAAGUUUGUUAAUUUUUGUCAGAAAUUAGUUUUUUCUCAGGUGUAUAACCAAUGCAUUGAUGAUAUUGAGGUUGUAUGUGCAAUGCUAUGUAUAAGGAUGUAUUUGAGGUCGA